rnacentral:rRNA from 1 species
AAACCAGCACCUCAAGUGGUCAGGAGGAUUAUUGGGCCUAAAGCAUCCGUAGCCUGCUCUGUAAGUUUCCGGUUAAAUCCACUAGCUCAACUAGUGGGCUGCCGAAAAUACUGUAGAACUAGGGAGUGGGAGAGGUAGACGGUAUUCGGUAGGAAGGGGUAAAAUCCUUUGAUCUAUUGAGGACCACCUGUGGCGAAGGCGGUCUACCAGAACACGUUCGACGGUGAGGGAUGAAAGCUGGGGGAGCAAACCGGAUUAGAAACCCCGGUAGUCC